rnacentral:tRNA from 1 species
AGUAGAAUGACUGAGAAAAUAGGUAAUAGAUUGUAAAUCUAUUUAGGAGUUAUAAAGACUCUUCUACUA